UACAUCAGGGGUGAGCAAAUUUUUUCGGUCUUGAUAUUUUUAUUUUUGUUAUGAUUAAAUUUAUUUUACUUUAGGUGAAAUUAUGGUUUUGUUUUAUAAUCAGUUUUUGUAAAUUAUGUGAUAAUAAUUGUUUAAGACUAGGAUUAGAUACCCUAUUAUGUUUAUUGUAAAUGUUAGGCCUUAGUAUUAAUAGUUAUGAUCUUUAAAUUAAAAGAAUUUGGCGGUAAUUUAAUCUUUCCAGAGGAACCUGUCCUGUAAUUGAUAAUCCACGUUGAAUUUUACUUAAGUUGGGCUUGUAUACCUCUGUCAUUGAAUGUUUUUUAAGGAUUUAUUUUCUCUAAUCUUUUUUGAGAUUAAUGUUAGGUCAAGGUGCAGCAAUGCUUAAGAUAGAGAUGGGUUACAUUUUUUGUAUUUUUGGAUUUUAUGUUGUAAUACAUAUUUGAAAUUGGAUUUGGAAGUAAUUUAUAUUAUUUAUUAUGGGUGAUUUUGGCUCUAAAUUAUGUACACAUCGCCCGUCACUCUCAUGAUAAGAUGAG
rnacentral:rRNA from 1 species